CCAGUUUUGCGGCAGGCGGAAUUUCCUAAGUACCGCGUGUCAUGCAGGCUAAUGAUGCAGCCGAGUAACUCGCCUUGGCGAGUUCCCGGCAGAAAGAGGCGGGAUCUCGUCCAGGCGGGAUGAAUAUUUUCCAUGUAAACACUUUGCCCGGGUAACUCGGCCGCCCGAGAUAGAAUGUAUGCGAUUUGUAUUUGAAAUACAAUAGCACAAAAAUACAUACGAACCAUUACAUAAGUUUUCCUGAAUUUCUCGGCGCUUAUUCUUGUAUAUUAACGACAUUUUGUAACGUUUUUUAACGUUUCAAACGACUAAAAUCCUUUUUGUAUUUUGGCGCCAUUUCGGCGUCAUGCGGCAAUCAUGCAGAAAUGCCGAGUAACUCGGUUGAACAGAUCAAACGCUUGUUUGUCCCACCUGGGCGAGUAACUCGCCUUGCCGAGUAACUCGCCUCCAUGUAAACAGGCCUAGAUGGUAGGAGGAUCAUAUGAGUAUGACGGAUGGCCUCAUGGCCACUUGUCACCGUCCUGUCCCUUCGUUACAAAAUCUCUAAUUACUUUAAAUUUUCUUAUAAAUGCGUAGUUAGCAGAUACGAAUAGCAAACUUAUCGUUAUUGUUGUUUUAAGCUUGUUACUCGGUACUGUUGGUGUAGCCACGAUAGAUAGAACUCGUUUAAGUUUUCAAAAAAUGUAAUUAAAAUAAUGGUUUACAAAAAAAUUAGUCAUAAAAAUAUAAAUUUUAAAGGUGAUCUACAGUCC